rnacentral:rRNA from 1 species
UACGUAGGGGGCAAGCGUUGUCCGGAAUCAUUGGGCGUAAAGAGCGCGUAGGCGGCCCUGUAAGUCCGCUGUGAAAGUCAAGGGCUCAACCCUUGGAUGCCGGUGGAUACUGUCGGACUAGAGUACGGAAGGGGCAACUGGAAUUCUCGGUGUAGCGGUGAAAUGCGUAGAUAUCGAGAGGAACACCUGCGGCGAAGGCGGGUUGCUGGGCUGAUACUGACGUGAGGCGCGAAAGCCAGGGGGAGCGAACGGGG